AGCGAACGCUGGCGGCAGGCUUAACACAUGCAAGUCGAACGGAUCCUUCGGGAUUAGUGGCGGACGGGUGAGUAACACGUGGGAACGUGCCUUUUGGUUCGGAACAACACAGGGAAACUUGUGCUAAUACCGGAUGUGCCCUUCGGGGAAAGGAUUUAUCGCCAUUAGAGCGGCCCGCGUCUGAUUAGCUAGUUGGUGAGGUAAAGGCUCACCAAGGCUACGAUCAGUAGCUGGUCNGAGAGGAUGAUCAGCCACACUGGGACUGAGACACGGCCCAGACUCCUACGGGAGGCAGCAGUGGGGAAUCUUGCGCAAUGGGGGAAACCCUGACGCAGCCAUGCCGCGUGAAUGAUGAAGGUCUUAGGAUUGUAAAAUUCUUUCAGCGGGGACGAUAAUGACGGUACCCGCAGAAGAAGCUCCGGCUAACUUCGUGCCAGCCGCCGCCGUAAG
rnacentral:rRNA from 1 species